rfam:Clostridiales bacterium GWB2_37_7 gwb2_scaffold_4209, whole genome shotgun sequence.
AGUAAAAUAGAAUAUAUACCGUAGACAGUAGGUAUUGCAUAAGGCAUGUAAAUUCCCUACCGAGGUUUUAUCUAAUAAAUAAAACACGGCCUCUCUAUGUCUACGGAGAGGCCUUUUGUAUGCAAAA